rnacentral:rRNA from 1 species
CUGAGAGAUUGCUACUAAGUCUAAGGAUUGCAGCAGGGGCGAAACUUGACCUAUGAUAUGAUAUUGAGGCAGUUAUGAGUAGUAUUUUUAAUUAUUGUAAUAUUGUAAGUAUAUAUUACAAGAUAAAUCGGAGGGCAAAUCGAGUGCCAGCAGCCGCGGUAAUACUUGUUCCGAUAGUGUGUAUGAUGAUUGAUGCAGUUAAAAAGUCUGUAGUUUAUUAUUAAUAAGCAUUGUGAGGUAUAUUGUAUGGUUAGGAGAGAGAUGAAAUGUGAUAACCCUAACUGGAUGAACAGAAGCGAAAGCUAUAUACUUAAAUGUUUUAUUAGAACAAGGACGUAAGCUAGAGGAUCGAAGAUGAUUAGAUACCAUUGUAGUUCUAGCAGUAAACUAUGUUAAAUCAUAGAUACAUUUUAAAAUGUAUUUAUGUAAAGAAAUUAAGAUUAUAUUGACUCUGGGGAUAGUAUGAUCGCAAGAUUGAAAAUUAAAGAAAUUGACGGAAGAAUACCACAAGGAGUGGAUUGUGCGGCUUAAUUUGACUCAACGCGGGGUAAUUUACCAGGUAUCACAUGAUAUAAUAUUUUAUCAUGAUAGUGGUGCAUGGCCGUUUCCAAUGGAUGCUGUGAAGUAAUGAUUAAUUUCAACAAGAUGUGAGACCCUCUAUUAAGACAGAUGUAGUGAUACAUAUGAAGGAGAGGAUUAAAACAGGUCCGUUAUGCCCUAAGAUAAUCUGGGUUGCACGCGCAAUACAAUAAUAUUUAAUAUUAUAAGGGAUAAUAUAAUGUAAGAUAUAUUUGAACAUGGAAUUGCUAGUAAAUUUUAUUUAAUAAGUAGAAUUGAAUGUGUCCCUGUUCUUUGUACACACCGCCCGUCGCUAUCUAAGAUGGUAUUAUCUAUGAACAAAUUAUA